GACGAACGCUGGCGGCGUGCUUAACACAUGCAAGUCGUGCGGUAAGGCCCUUUCGGGGGUACACGAGCGGCGAACGGGUGAGUAACACGUGAGCAACCUGCCCUUCACUUUGGGAUAACUGCCGGAAACGGUGGCUAAUACCGGAUAUGACUUCCUCACGCAUGUGGGGUGGUGGAAAGCCUUCGGGUGGUGGGGGAUGGGCUCGCGGUCUAUCAGCUUGUUGGUGGGGUGAUGGCCUACCAAGGCUGCGACGGGUAGCCGGCCUGGGAGGGGGACCGGCCACACUGGGACUGAGACACGGCCCAGACUCCUACGGGAGGCAGAAGUGGGGAAUAUUGGACAAUGGGCGAGAGCCUGAUCCAGCAACGCCGCGUGAGGGAUGACGGCCUUCGGGUUGUAAACCUCUUUCGCCUGCGACGAAGCGAGAGUGACGGUAGCAGGUAAAGAAGCACCGGCCAACUACGUG
rnacentral:rRNA from 1 species